rnacentral:rRNA from 1 species
GACGAACGCUGGCGUCGUGCUUAACACAUGCAAGUCGUACGGUAAGGCCCUUUCGGGGGUACACGAGUGGCGAACGGGUGAGUAACACGUGAGUAACCUGCCCACAACUUUGGGAUAACGCUAGGAAACUGGUGCUAAUACUGGAUAUGUGCUCCUGCUGCAUGGUGGGGGUUGGAAAGCUCCGGCGGUUGUGGAUGGACUCGCGGCCUAUCAGCUUGUUGGUGGGGUAGUGGCCUACCAAGGCGGCGACGGGUAGCCGGCCUGAGAGGGUGACCGGCCACAUUGGGACUGAGAUACGGCCCAGACUCCUACGGGAGGCAGCAGUGGGGAAUAUUGCACAAUGGGCGCAAGCCUGAUGCAGCAACGCCGCGUGCGGGAUGACGGCCUUCGGGUUGUAAACCGCUUUCAGCAGGGACGAAGCUUUUUGUGACGGUACCUGCAGAAGAAGCACCGGCUAACUACGUG